rnacentral:rRNA from 1 species
AGCGAACGCUGGCGGCAGGCUUAACACAUGCAAGUCGAGCGGGCACUUCGGUGUCAGCGGCAGACGGGUGAGUAACACGUGGGAACGUACCCUUUGGUUCGGAAUAACGCUGGGAAACUAGCGCUAAUACCGGAUACGCCCUUUUGGGGAAAGGCUUGCUGCCGAAGGAUCGGCCCGCGUCUGAUUAGCUAGUUGGUGGGGUAAUGGCCCACCAAGGCGACGAUCAGUAGCUGGUCUGGGAGGAUGAUCAGCCACACUGGGACUGAGACACGGCCCAGACUCCUACGGGAGGCAGCAGUGGGGAAUAUUGGACAAUGGGCGCAAGCCUGAUCCAGCCAUGCCGCGUGAGUGAUGAAGGCCUUAGGGUUGUAAAGCUCUUUUGUCCGGGACGAUAAUGACGGUACCGGAAGAAUGAGCCCCGGCUAAGUUCGUG